rnacentral:lncRNA from 1 species
UAUACCUGCAAUGACAGAGUUUUAUACUAUGUGUUGAUGCCUUUAAAUUUUUUAUCCUAGAUUUCCUUCACCCACUAAAAAUGCAUAUUUAUUGCUAUCCUUGUCAUCCAGCUGCUUAUCGAAGGUGCAUUGGAGGGGAGGCGUUGAAUAUUCCAAUCAGCUUUUCCUGUGCAGCUCUGUUAGUAUUAUCUAUUGCAAAGACAAACUAAACAGCCCUCAACUCCAGCACCAGUUUCCACUGGUAUUUCAAACCUUGCACUUUUACUUCUUGUGCUGAUUUCACAGUUGGAUAUAUCUCUGAGCUCUGAUUGAGAAUCAGCCUUGUUAGAAGUGAUAACUUUUUCUGCCCCCCCCCCUCUCGUUUCUCUUCUAUUUUUCAAUUAGUGGCGCUAUGGUCGAUUUCAUGUCAAGAUUUCUGUAAAUUGUGGUUAAGAUCAGAAUAAACAGACGGUGGCGUGGUCCAUUCACCCCAUUAUUGAGAUGUGUGUACAGGUACAAGCAUGCAACCAAAUUAGGGGCUUCUUGCUUAACAGCCUUUAUGUCAAGGGGCCACAGUCUAGUUGAGUUUUGUCACUGCGUUUCCAGUCACCGAUUUUCGGCUUUUUCUACGUCUCUCAAAUUGGACAUUCAUGUGGAAGUGCUAGGGGACAGUCACAUCAUGUGUAUCCAGAUCUCAAUUAAGGCACAUGAAGGGUAGAUAGAAAGAUUGGCUCUUUAAUUGGAUUAUUGACUUUCUUGGACAUGAAGAUUAGCUUCUAACUAAGGUAGGUUUUAAAUGUACUUACAAAAAUUUAGUACAUGCUUCUGGCUUAGAAUGUCAUGACAUUUGGAAUUUGAGUUUUCAAUUAGAAUGUGUUAUUUGAUGCUGUCUGCUUGUCACCAGUGAUCCCAUGUGGGAAAAUGGGGAGUUAUUUAAAGUAUAUGGUUUUUUAUGGUAAUUUGUGGAAUUCUCUAAGUCAUAAUUGUCUUACAAGUUGGAGAUUUUGAGAUUGUUCAUGGAAUAAAUUCAUUCCAAACAACCCCUUAUUAUAUCCUGGUUUAAAAAGGUGGUAGAAGGGAUUUGAAAAUUCAGUUGAAAU